CUACGGGAGGCAGCAGUGGGGAAUAUUGGACAAUGGGGGAAACCCUGAUCCAGCAAUGCCGCGUGUGUGAAGAAGGCCUGCGGGUUGUAAAGCACUUUCGGUUGGGAGGACUGCUUCUAGCACUAAUAUUGUUGGAAGUUGACGUUACCUUCAGAAGAAGCACCGGCUAACUCCGUGCCAGCAGCCGCGGUAAUAGCGGAGGGUGCAAGCGUUAAUCGGAAUUACUGGGCGUAAAGCGCGCGUAGGCGGCUAGAUCAGUCGGGUGUGAAAGCCCCGGGCUUAACCUGGGAACUGCAUCCGAUACUGUCUAGCUUGAGUACAGGAGAGGAGAGUGGAAUUCCACAUGUAGCGGUGAAAUGCGUAGAUAUGUGGAGGAACACCAAUGGCGAAGGCAGCUCUCUGGACCAAUACUGACACUGAGGUGCGAAAGCGUGGGGAGCAAACAGGAUUAGAUACCCUAGUAGUC
rnacentral:rRNA from 1 species